CUACGGGCGGCUGCAGUGGGGAAUAUUGGACAAUGGGGGAAACCCUGAUCCAGCAAUGCCGCGUGUGUGAAGAAGGCCCGCGGGUUGUAAAGCACUUUCGGUUGGGAGGACUGCUUCUAGCACUAAUAUUGUUGGAAGUUGACGUUACCUUCAGAAGAAGCACCGGCUAACUCCGUGCCAGCAGCCGCGGUAUACGGAGGGUGCAAGCGUUAAUCGGAAUUACUGGGCGUAAAGCGCGCGUAGGCGGCUAGAUCAGUCGGGUGUGAAAGCCCCGGGCUUAAUCUGGGAACUGCAUCCGAUACUGUCUAGCUUGAGUACAGGAGAGGAGAGUGGAAUUCCACAUGUAGCGGUGAAAUGCGUAGAUAUGUGGAGGAACACCAAUGGCGAAGGCAGCUCUCUGGCCUGAUACUGACGCUGAGGUGCGAAAGCGUGGGGAGCAAACAGGAUUAGAUACCCGAGUAGUC
rnacentral:rRNA from 1 species